rnacentral:rRNA from 1 species
ACAGAGGGUGCAAGCGUUAAUCGGAAUUACUGGGCGUAAAGCGUGCGUAGACGGUUACAUAAGUCAGGUGUGAAAGCCCCGGGCUCAACCUGGGAAUUGCAUUUGAGACUGUGUAGCUAGGGUGCGGAAGAGGGAAGCGGAAUUACCGGUGUAGCGGUGAAAUGCGUAGAGAUCGGUAGGAACACCAGUGGCGAAGGCGGUCUCCUGGAGCAUACUUGACGCUGAGGCGCGAAAGCUGGGGGAGCGAACGGGA